UACGUAGGGGGCGAGCGUUAUCCGGAUUCAUUGGGCGUAAAGCGCGCGUAGGCGGCCGCCUAAGCGGAACCUCUAACCCCGGGGCUCAACCUCGGGCCGGGUUCCGGACUGGGCGGCUCGAGUGCGGUAGGGGAGAUCGGAAUUCCCGGUGUAGCGGUGGAAUGCGCAGAUAUCGGGAAGAACACCGAUGGCGAAGGCAGAUCUCUGGGCCGCAACCGACGCUGAGGCGCGAAAGCGUGGGGAGCAAACAGG
rnacentral:rRNA from 1 species